rnacentral:tRNA from 1 species
GCGGGUGUAGCUCAGUGGAUAGAGCACCAGCCUCCGGAGCUGGGUGUCGGAGGUUCGAAUCCUCCCACUCGCGCCA